ACGAAGUCGGCACGGUAUUUCCGCAGCGCAGCGCACCUGCAUUCAGCCAAUUACCUUAAUUACAGCGACUGCUUAAAAGCAGCUUGCUUUCCUGUCGUGUAUGGCCUGACUUUCACUACGUUUCCUUUUGACUGUGCCGUGGGUUGCCGGCAGGCAUCUGUGGCUGGCUGGUGAGGUCCUUGCGUAUGCGCUGCGGGCUAUCGUGUUGACGACUGAGCAGCAUUCGGGUUCAGGAGGGUGCGACAUGGUGUGAUGACCGAACGAAACUGAUUUAGUCUUGGUAUUCCGGAGGCAAGGUAAUAAAGAUAUUAAUGAUGGAGCAAGUAACCAUUUUAACUUAAAGAAGCCUCGGUCUAAUCAUGACUUUGUUUUUAUAGGGAAGACUCGUGCCGCUUCGUGCCGCUGCUGUUUUGCCACUUUUUGUUUAUUAUUAAGGUUAUGACUUGUCCACAUUCUGUUUGUUUUCUUUUGUUUCUGAUGCGCACGUCCCCCGCAGAGUAACGCUCUGGUAGCUUCUGUUUCUAGUGUGUGGGGGCGCUUGGGAACAGAUUUGGACUGUAUAGCUUACCCUUGGGUAUGUGUGCUGGUUGCGCUCAUGAGGUCUUGUGUUUUCUUUUUGUUUUAAACCAACUGUAAUGUGCCUUGUCCAACACUUAUAGCUCGUUAACUGUCGCUGUUGUUGUCCUGUCGCAGGUGUGGUCCCGGUCCACUGGAGUGCGGGGUUUCUGGGUUUUCCCUGUCAGCCCGACUGUCUUUAGUUCACUGCAUGCUUAGUGGGCUAGUUUUGUAGUGUUCACCCUUUAACCGUGCGCUUAGUGCACCCUCGUUUGCAGUGCGUGUGGAUACGACUUGC